rnacentral:rRNA from 1 species
AUGUCCGAGUCCGACGGCACCGCCCCGGAGAAGGUUAGGGGGAUGGACUGGAGCAGGAGGCCCGGCGAUCCGGCCGACCCGGUCGUGGACGCGGAGGGGUUCGCGGGUAUGGCGGGGCUGGGGCUCGACAGCAACUUCGUCGUCGUCCACGGCGCAGGUAUAUAUAGCUCGGAAUCUGUGUUGCCUCUGGGCACUGGCUCUCUGUCUUACGCUUGCUGA